rnacentral:lncRNA from 1 species
UAGCUGCUGUUUUUUGUCUUUUGAGGGCUGCACCCGUGGCAUAUGGAGGUUCCCAGGCUAGGGAUCUAAUCGGAGCUGUUGUUGCUGGCCUACGCCACAGCCACAGCAAUGCCAGAUCCAAGCCGUGUCUGUGAUCUACACCACAGCUCACGGCAACACCGGAUCUUUAACCCACUGAGCAAGGCCAGGGAUCACACCUGCAACCUCUUGGUUCCUAGUCGGAUUUGUUUCCGAUGAGCCACGAUGGGAACUCCAGUAGCUGCUUUUUAAGCACAGAAAUGAAAGUGUGGAAGGGCAGAGAUGGUGGAAGCACAUUAAUCAGGCUUGCUUUCCUUGUAUGUAAAAAGGGCAUGUUAAUUUCUAGAUCUUUGUUAAGAUAGUAAGUGGAUUUAACGGCACCUCAAAGGCACUCAAUAAAUAGUAGCUGUUUAAAAAGGGUCUUAUUUACUGGAAAAAAGGGGGGGGGGCUCAGUAAUUCUUAGGGACAAAUAGUAAAUUUCUUAUCAAACAUUCUUGUUAAUGUCAGCUAGGCAUUUUAUUCUCACGAUGUUCAAUUUAGGUAUGAAUGGUACAUACAGACACCUUUCCCUGGUGUCUGUAUGUAUAUAUGACACCCAAAGAUGGAAAAAUCGGGAUUGGGGGGGCACUUAAACUUGUAUAGAUAAAGCAGUCCAGUAGCAGGUGGUCAUAAGUAUUUAAUGAAGCAUUAUGAAUAUUGAAUGGAAGGUUAAGGGAUCCCAUAUUUUAUUUCUCAUGGUAUGUAGGUCACUGCUGAAAACCGAGAAUUAGCUUUGAAAAAAAAUUUCAAAAGAAAUACAUGCUUAUCUCCUAUGUAUCUCGUAUGUAAUUACAUAUGAAAUAUAUUUCAUGUGCCUUACAUCAAUAGAUAUUGAUACAAAGUUGUCUCUCAGUCCCUUGGUAUCGAGGAGAGAUGGCUUCCAAGUCUUCCACAGAGAGCACAAUAGGUGGGUGCUCAACUCCCUGAUAUAAAAUGGUGUAGUAUUUGCAGGCAACAUCCUCCUCUGUGCUUUAAAUCAUCUCAAGAUUACUUAAUACAACAUAAAUGUAAUAGUAGAAGUGGUUGUAAAUACAAUGUAAAGACUAUGUCAAUGGUUGUUGAGCUUGCAGCAAAUUCAAUGUUUGCCUUUUGGAACUUGCUGGAAUUUUUCUCUGAAAAUUUUUGAUAGGUAGAUAGUUGAAUCUGCAAAUUUGGAACCAGUGCAUACAGGCAGCCCACUGUAUAUCCAAAGUUAGGUAACCUUCCAAAAAAUCAUUCCCAUUACUUAUAAAAUAUUUUAUUUGAAGGAGUUCCCCUUGUGGUUCUAUGGUAACAAACCUGACUAGUAUCCAUGAGGGUGCAGGUUCGAUCCCUGGCCUUGCUCAGUGGGUUAAGGAUCCAGUGUUGUGAUGAGCUUCAGUGUAGGUCUCACACGUGGCUCGGAUCUGGCGUUGCUGUGGCUGUAAUGUAGGCUGGCUGCUGCCAGCUCCGAUCAACCCCUAGCUUGGAAAUUUCCAUAUGCCUCAGUGCAGCCCUGAAG